ensembl:lncRNA
CUCUGUCUCUCUCUCUGACACACACACAUGAGAAGGAAUCAGGAUCAAGUGGAACGAGAGUCACAGUCUAGUCAGUCAUAUGAACACAGGACUGGUUUAGUCACCAUGAGAAACCUUAUUCUAACCUGGACAUUUCUCUUUAUUUUACAUCUGACCAAAGAGGACACUUCAGUGCAAAAGCUGAGUGCCCCAGAAAAGCAUUUUCUUGUGCUGAUGUGUUCUGACGCUUCAUAUGUUAACUGGAGCCAUGGGCUGGAAAGGAUGAUCGCCUCUAGACAAAGAAAGCAGGUGUCUUACCUGGACCAAAGCAAACACCAGCUGCUUGAAGAUGGCCAGCUCUCCAUUAAAGACCUGCAGGAAUCAGACGCAGGAGAAUAUUACUGCAACCAUCAGCUAGUGGCAGAUAUCACUGUGCUCAAAGGUCAUAACUUUACAGUUCCUGAGGGCACAACUGUUUAUCUUCCAUGUAAGACAUCUAAUAAAAUGAAGCAGAGAUGGGCAUUCAAACGCACUCCUCAGUCCAGAAAAGAGUUCAUCUCCACGCUUUAUAAAAACAGCACCAUAAAGAAAGAGAGAGCUGAUCCAACAUUAAGAUUCACUCACACCACAGAUGACCUGAUUAUCUCAGAUCUCCAGCUGCAGGACUCUGGGCUUUAUCUGUGCAACAACAGAGAGAUGGCUUUCCUUACGGUGACCACAGAAUCGACUGAAAUUGAAAACAGCAGUCCAGAUAUAAAUAAAUACGGUGUGUGUUUAGUGACAGUGGCCGUCCUGCUGGCUUUGUGCAUACUGGCGAUGGUUUGUGUUGGCCUUCUGUCGGUGACGAUCUGCUGGAAAAGCAGGAGAAGGAGAAGAAACAUUAGAAAAGAAACAGGGCCGACAUACAUUGCAUCAGGUCUACAAUUACAAAGGAUGUCAAAUGAAGGCCCCUGGAUGUUGGACACUCAUGAGGAUGCAGGGGAAAUCCAGUACGCGUCUCUGGGUGGGCAGCACUGGAAGCAGACAGACAGACAGCUGAGCAGCAGACAGCAUGUCAUUUACUCCACACUGACCACGUCAUGAAAACAACACACUCAUUUACACUGGAUAUGUACAGUCCAUAUGAGUCAUGUUCACUGAUAUGUAAACAUAAACCAAAUACACAUAAAACACCUUACAUAGAACUGAAAUCACUGUCUUAGCUUUAUUGUCAUCCUACAAAAGCUAGCUUAUAUAGAAACAAACAAAUGAAAAAGAAACCAUAGACUAUAGCAGGCAUAAUAUAGUAACAUAGCACAUGUAAUAUACACUACCAUUUAAUAUAUAUAACAACGAUACUAUAAACUGGUGACAGUAAAUACUUUUAUAAAAUCUUACAAAGAAGUCUAUUUUAAUAAAUGCUGUUUCCUUGAAAUUUUUAUAUAAAGAAUCCUGAAAACAAUAAAUUAUGAUCCUAAAAAAAUUUUUUAAAAAUAUAUUUGAAAAGAAAACAGUUAUUUUAAAUUGCAAAAAUAUUUCACAUUAUUUCCUGUAUUUAAAGGGGUCAUCGGAUGCCCAUUUUCCACAAGUUGAUAUGAUUCUUUAGGGUCUUAAGAAACGUCUAUAUCAUACUUUGGUUAAAGUUUCUCAGUGGUAGUGUAAAACAACACCUUUUUAUCCUGUCAAAAACAGCUCUGUUCACAGCAAGCCGUUUGGGUGCAUGUCCCUUUAAAUGCUAAUGAGCU